AACGAACGCUGGCGGCAUGCCUAACACAUGCAAGUCGAACGAGACCUUCGGGUCUAGUGGCGCACGGGUGCGUAACGCGUGGGAACCUGCCUUUAGGUUCGGAAUAACUCAGAGAAAUUUGAGCUAAUACCGGAUAAUGUCUUCGGACCAAAGAUUUAUCGCCUUUAGAUGGGCCCGCGUAAGAUUAGCUAGUUGGUGGGUAAAGGCCUACCAAGGCGACGAUCUUUAGCUGGUCUGAGAGGAUGAUCAGCCACACUGGGACUGAGACACGGCCCAGACUCCUACGGGAGGCAGCAGUGGGGAAUAUUGGACGAAUGGGCGAAAGCCUGAUCCAGCAAUGCCGCGUGAGUGAUGAAGGCCUUAGGGUUGUAAAGCUC
rnacentral:rRNA from 1 species